rnacentral:rRNA from 1 species
UGGGGAAUAUUGGACAAUGGGCGAAAGCCUGAUCCAGCGACGCCGCGUGUCGGAAGGAGUCCUUCGGGAUGUAAACGACUUUUGGUGGAGACGAAUAAGCAGCUCAGGGAAUGGGGCUGUGAUGACGGUAUCCAUGGAAUAAGCCCCGGCUAACUACGUGCCAGCAGCCGCGGUAAGACGUAGGGGGCAAGCGUUACCCGGAAUUACUGGGCGUAAAGGGAGCGUAGGCGGGAGGUCAAGUCCGGUGUGAAAGACCCUGGCUCAACCAGGGAUGAGGGCUGGAAACUGACAAUCUUGAGUACAGCAGAGGAAGAGGGAAUUACCGGUGUAGGGGUGAAAUCCGUAGAGACCGGUAAGAAGGCCAGUGGCGAAGGCGCUUUUCUGGGCUGUUACUGACGCUGAGGCUCGAAAGCCAGGGGAGCGAACCG